CUAGAGACCCGGAUGGAGAAAUGGCCGUCUUAACUGCGGGAGCAAGCGAACGGGCGCUAGUGCGCAGGCGCGGCCUGCGGCGCAGGCGCAUGAGCCUCAGGCUGAGCUCUGUGUUUUCUAGCGUGCUGUAUGCUGCUCGGCUCUUCUCAGCGCUUCGGUAUGGUGCCCGCGGGUGCCGGGGUGACCCGGCUGCUAAUGCUCUUGCUGAUGGUAGCCGCGGCUCCUAGCAGAGCCCGAGGCAGCGGCUGCCGUGUCGGGGCCGCCGCGCGCGGGGCCGGGGCUGACGGCCGGGAAGCAGAGGGCUGUGGCACUGUGGCAUUGCAGCUGGAGCAUUCGUUUGAGAUUGGUGACCGAGCCAACUUCCAGAAGCGUGGCUCGCUGCUCUGGAACCAGCAGGAUGGCACCUUGUCUGCGACACAGCGACAGCUCAGUGAGGAGGAGCGGGGCCGACUCCGGGAUGUGGCUGCUGCCAAUGGCCUCUACAGGGUCCGGGUCCCAAGGCGCCCCGGGACACUUGACAGUUCAGAAGCUGGCGGCCAUGUGUCUUCCUUUGUCCCAGCGUGCUCCCUGGUGGAGUCGCACCUCUCAGACCAGCUGACCUUGCAUGUGGAUGUGGCCGGCAACGUGGUGGGCCUGUCGGUGGUGGUGUACCCUGGGGGCUGCCGGGGCUCCGAAGUGGAAGAUGAGGACCUGGAGCUGUUCAAUACGUCUGUUCAGCUGCGGCCUCCAGGCACUGCUCCAGGCCCCGAGACUGCGGCCUUCAUUGAGCGCCUGGAGAUGGAGCAGGCCCAGAAGGCCAAGAACCCUCAGGAACAGAAGUCUUUCUUUGCCAAAUACGGGCCUCAGAAGCCCCUCAUUUCAGGAACUGAGGUCUGGCAAACCUCAGCCCUUUCAUCUCUGCACUUAUUUGAGGGCUGGCCCUUCCCAUGGCCAGGCUGCUGACCUGCCUCCCUCCCUCUUCAGUGGCACCUCAUCCUGGGGGGGGCCGUGUUGCUCACAGCCUUGCGUCCUGCUGCCCCAGGGCCUGCACCAGCGCCAACGGAGGCCUAAUGGAUGUACAUCAUUCCAGUUGUGCUGUUCCUCAUGAUGUCGGGAGCUCCAGAUGCCGGUGGCCAGGGCGGCGGUGGGGGUGGGGGCAGCAGCCGGUGAACAGCUGUGCCCCCCGACCCUCCCAGAGCCUUUUGUCCUUGGCCAGCCCAAGAAGGAGUUCCUGUCCCUCCAUCUCCCUAUUGCAUGAAUAUGGAAGGCUGUCCCUUCCCAUGAACCUCUGGGCCUCUUAUAAGUCCCCCAUUCUGUCCCUGAGCCUCUCUCUGUUCCUAUUGACUGAGAGCUUGGGUGUACCUCCCUAUAGCGAGCUCAUUGGCUUCCUUGGGCGUUGCAACUGUGUCCCACCAUGUGGCACUGUGUCCCUCUGUCUGCUAAACACCCACCAGCCCGCCCCUCCCACCCCCCCGCCCCUACUCCACCAUACAAUUUGGGAACUUGCCAAGCUCUCUCCAGCCUCCGUGCCUUUGCCCUGCAGGCCCCGUGCACCCCUCACUGUCACUCUCAGGCUCUUUGCCAAGGAUCUGUGGCCCAGAGGCCUCUGCUGUUAGUGGCUAGGUCUGCCUCCAUGUGGCAUGCUGUGUUCUUUGCCCCAGAAUACCAUGGUGACUUCUACCCUAUCCUUUCUGUCUCUGAAUGUCCCAGCCUGGAUCCAUGACCAGGAGAGGAUUGUGGGCCUCCACGUUAGUCUGUCUACUGUGAAUGCACACUCUAGUGACUUGUGUGCAGAUUUUGAGAGCCAAUUUGCACUAGCUGCUCGACAGCUGCUAGUAUGGCUGUGCUCUUGCACAUGUGCAGCCAUGGGAUGGGGACUGCGGUGCCGCCUCAGCUGUGUUGUGUGGCUGUUGAUUAAACUGUCGCCCAAACAGCCAUUA